rnacentral:misc_RNA from 1 species
AGCAAGAAAUGGUACAGUUGCAUAAUCGUAAAAAUGACAAGCGGAUACAUUAGCUUCAGAAAAUUUAGCAAACUCCAUAGCUAUGAUUUUCUAAUACCAGUGAAAAUUAGCUUUUAAGAGAGAUGUUCCAUCAAAUAAUCACUGUUUUCCAUCAAAUAAUCACUGUUAGAAUCUUGUUAUUCUCAAUUUGAUUUGAUUUCCCAUCCUAGCGAUUCGAA